UUUUCAAUUUUUUUCCAAUCUCCGCUCCUCCGCGGCUUCUCCAUCUCCGAUCAAAUCCGCUCCUCGGCUUACCCGGAGAGUUUCUACACCGCCGACGAAACUAUCUAGUAGCAGGUCUUCGAUUCUUCAUGUAUGUGCUCCUCGGCUUCUCCAUCUCCCUUCAAAUCCGCUUUACCAGAGAGAUUCUAUGCCGCCGCAUCUUACGACAACCUCUACGCGUCUUAUUUGUCGACGAAAUCCUCUACCACCAAGUCACGAUCGAUCUCUUCCGUUGCAAAACUCAUGAGAAUCUGGUGGUUUGUACCUUAGAAUCUCGUGGUUUGACUUAACAUUUAAACAGGCUACUUUAAGACCAUGCAAUACAUUGAAAUGAGGAGGCAAAAGCACAUGGAAAAGGCCCCGAGUUUGGAGCUUAAACGGCUUUGGUUCUCCAAAAUCUCUCCAUCAACUGCAGAAAAAGAAACAGAUUGUAUGAAUAUUUUGAAACCGUCUUUAUCAUUAGCACUAUAGUCAUGUAACCCCCAAAACUGAACAAAACAUAAC